UAUAAGCACCCCAAAUAUAUUCUCUAAUAAUUUGUACUUAGUACUUAUAUAAUUUAUUAUGUGAUCACAUUUUGACCGGCUUCAGUUACGGAUACCCAGUAGAGGAUAAUCAAAGACAUGAAAUUAGAGGAUAAGGUUUUAGUGACCUGUCACCUUUUAGGACUGGAUCUCAGAUUUAAUAUAAAAACCUUAAGGACAUGCUUAUAAAAUGUUCAGACAUUAAAACAGGAAGUUUUAGCUGCUAUUGGAUGAUAGCAUUUAUAAAUGUAACAGUCUGAAGCAUGUGAAGAAAUUGAGAAAUUGACAGAAUUUGUAUACCUUUUUACAGUCUUGCC